GUCCUCGUAAAUUAGCACGUAGUCGAUCACCCGGAGCUUCUCAGUUCCGUCCAUUGCGCUUCACGCAAGCCUUCAACUCUACACAGCUAGCGAAGUAAACACAGCUCAAACCUCUAAACGAACGGCAACCUGGCGUGGACGAGCAAAUAGAUGUACAACAUCCCUUUGUACAUUGCGCAGGACGGAAGAACAAAGGACGAGGCGGCCCAGUAUUGUCUUCAAUAUAAACAGAGAAAGAGAGAUUAUACAGGUGCUCGAAAUCCAGAGAAACAAACACAAAAUGCAGAAAGAACUCAGCAGGUCAAAGGACCUCUAUGGAGAGGAAUAAACAGUUGACGUUUCGGGCAUAGACCAUUCAUCAGGACGCGAUUUAACAGCUCUGAGGGGCCGAAGGGGCGGGAGCAGCCCCCUCCUUCCGGAGAAUCGCAAGAUCGCUAUUAAUUUGGGUCUUGGACUCAGGAAAUGAGAGACAAUGCAACGGUUUUGGCCAUUGUUCUUAGAGACACCUGUGUGAAGUGCAUGUCCCUGCUACGUGACAGCUACCAUGGAUAUGGACACCCUCAGGAAAUGGGGGUGGGGAUUGCAUCACCCUUCGUUGAUGGACAUCUACAACUCUGCAAGUCAAGAUAAAAGGGACUGCAGGAGGCUGUACCCCAGCGACGCACCAGAAGGACACCAUCACUCAGUGCUCCAGUGCUAGCGGAAGCCCUAUAAAGCCACGUGCAUUCCGCCUCUCCUUGGCCUGAGGAGCGGGUGGCUGAUAACACCGAAAAGGACUUCGAACUCACAACGGGGAACCAACGCUCCCCUGUUUCAACGGAUGCUUCAUAAAGACCCGGCAAGUCUUUACUUUUCUCACCAAUCUCUCUCUCUCUGUCGCACCACGUGAAACCCACCGAUUCCCAAAAGGCUGAAGCCUGCAGACUUCUGAGUGAAUUUUAUAUUUCCAACGAAUAAUAUAUUAUCCCCUAAACAACAGUAGAGCUCAUUUCUUAAUGAUGAUUAUUACUAUACCCGCGCUUUAGAUUGAGUAUUGACGAUGUGCAUUAUCUGAAUGUUUGUAUUAACCUUACUUUU